GCGAAUUCGGAAAAGCAAAGUCUCUCUAUCAAGUCCAAAGCCAGAGUUUCGAGAUUCGUUGACCGAUCUAAACAGAAAAGAAGCCAUGUCAGGUAGGUACCGCCGUGCACGGAGAAGCAAUCGAGUGGGAGUCCGAAGACGAAGAUUCCGAUGACGCAGAAGAUGAAGAAGAGUAUACGUCACCGUCGCAACCACCCUCUUCGGCGAAUUUCGAUAAAGAUCGACACUUGGUGUAUUUGCAGAUGAUGUAAGAGCUGCUUCCGUACCAUUACCAAUCGCAGGAGAUCAAUCGACUCACCCUCGCUCACUUCAUAAUCUCGGGACUUCACUUUCUAGGCGCAACAGACCGUGUUGACAAAGAUGUAGUUGCGAAGUGGGUUCUGUCCUUCCAGGCCUUCCCUAGGAACAGAGCUUCACUUGAAGAAGGUGAAUUCUACGGUUUCUAUGGUUCAAGGAGCUCUCAGUUUCCUAUAGAUUAGAAUGGGGUAAGGAUAAGUCUAUCGUCAGGGAAUGAGAAAGGCAAGAUUUAUGUCAGGGAUUUAAAGCGCCGUCCUCUUGUUUUGGUUACAGUCACAAUUCUUGCUGCCUCCGAGGACGGGACUUUAUGGCGUUGGGACGUACCGAUGGUCUAAUGUGCAUGCUGGCUACUUUCUAGAAGUACAUAAGGAAUAAGGAAUAGUGAUAAGAGACAGGUCAGAGGAUCUGGAAUAACUGUCAGCUGGUGCUGUGAGUACUUAAUUAGUCUAUAAGUAAGAGUCUAGGGGAGAGAUAUCAAUGAUUUGAUCAAGUGGUUGUAAAGAGAUAAAGAGUCUCUCGUGUGGAAGGCUUUCUUUGUAAUCCUUGUUUGAAUCAAAUAGAAACAUUAUCUUCUCUUAA